rnacentral:rRNA from 1 species
GUAGGUAGCUUAACCUUCGGGAGGGCGCUUACCACUUUGUGAUUCAUGACUGGGGUGAAGUCGUAACAAGGUAACCGUAGGGGAACCUGCGGUUGGAUCACCUCCUUACCUAAAGA